AUUGAACGCUGGCGGCAGGCCUAACACAUGCAAGUCGAACGAGUGGCGGACGGGUGAGUAAUGUCUGGGAAACUGCCUGAUGGAGGGGGAUAACUACUGGAAACGGUAGCUAAUACCGCAUACCCUCAGAUGUGCCCAGAUGGGAUUAGCUGGUUGGUGGGGUAACGGCUCACCAAGGCGACGAGCCCUAGCUGGUCGGAGAGGAUGACCAGCCACACUGGAACGAAGACACGGCCCAGACUCCUACGGAAGGCAGCAGUGGGGAAUAUUGCACAAGGGGCGAAAGCCGGAUGCAGCCAUGCCGCGUGUAUGAAGAAGGCCUUCGGGUUGUAAAGUACGUUCAGCGGGGAGGCGUUACCCGCAGAAGAAGCACCGGCUAACUCCGUGCCAGCAGCCGCGGUAAUUC
rnacentral:rRNA from 1 species